CUUACCAUUUCCUUCCUCCUAACGUCCAGCUUUAGUGACAGUGUCCUGACCACUGUCCUCCGGACACACGACGUGCUCUCCUGCCUGCAUUUUUCCUGAGAGGAUGACACCCACCCCGCCUGCUGCCCCUACCCUCCCCACGGCGCCCCUAACUUGCAGUGACCCGGUCCCCUUCUUCUCUCCUCAUUGAGGUCCUGUCCACCCUCCGAGGAGCAGCUUUCCCCCCGUCUUCCUGCAUCCCCCAAGAAGGGGUCUCCCCCUUUCCAAAUCUCAGCUUUGGUGUCCAGGCCCUGUGGGGCCGAUGAUGAGCAAGUACAGAAAUGUGCGAGAAAUUCCUUUUCUGUUUUACAAUGAGCCACUUUAAGGUUAUCCCUUUAAUGAUCGGGUCUUUCCAAUAUAGAAAUUGGAGCUAAAAUAGGCAGUUAACCUUACAGCACAAUGUUGGGGUUCCUCUAGGAAGUGGGUUGGUGUGCAGUGACCUUCAUCUGAUAAUGUGUAUCGGUUAAAAAGAAAAGGAAAAAAAAAAGGUGGUGUCUGCAGGUGCACCCCACUCACUUGGAAUUUUAUCAUCUACUUCCUUAUGAUAGUUCUAGUCUUGCCCGAAGUGGUGUUUACCUGCUCAUGUCAGCCUCAGGGUACGGCUCCUGUGUGUAACUCACCCUCUGCCACGGUGCCUGCUGACGACUACUUAUUAAUUACUUGGUUAAAUCAUUUAUGAUUUAUUUUUAAAAAUCAGGUUUUUUAAGAGAAUGCAGGGAAAAAUCACGUAAAAUAAUGAGCAACACAAUUCUUGCUUUACUCAACGAAAUUAUUUCUUCCCUUUUUGAUGCUAGGGGAGUAAUCUCUGUGGGAGAGUCUUCGAGACGCGUCUGAAACCUGUCCUUUUGUCAAAGCCAAGGAAAGAUGGUAAGGAACAUGCAUGGGCAGAGCGUAUUCUGGAUUGUUAAUUUUUUUUUUUUUAAUCCAGACUUGUUUCUCCCUGUCCAUUGUCUCAUGCAGAAUGUUCUUGUUGGCAACAUACGGUCGGAAACGGACUGCCAAGGCUUGUCCCUGUGGUGUAGGGACUCAGCGACAUGCAGGAGAAAGCAAUCUGGGGAAGGGGAUUAUUUAAGAGUCAAGGCACACUAUCCACUGGUUCUUUGCUUUGAUUUCAUUGGACACUUGUGGGUGGGGAUGACAGCUAGAAUCUGAAUUAAAUAAAUACCUACUAAGAAAAGAAUCCCUAGCUACCAGUCAGGGAGUAAUGUUUGUUUUGGGUUUGACUUCAGGAAAUCAAGAGUAUGCUUUAUCUCUCUUAAUUCUGUGAGCUGGAUUGGACGAGUCUAGGAAACAAACCCCCUCGAUCUUCCCAUUUGUUCUAGGGGAGCGUAGGGUACGGGGAGGGGAGCGCCUGCAUGGGGGGCUGAAAAGACCACUGGUGUCUGGCCGUGGGGCCCGCAGGUGGGCUGUCUGGCAACGGCGAAUGCUCAGAGUGAGCUGCGGUAUUACUCGUCAGAGUGAGUGACUCAUUUGUGUUUGCAGUACAGCUAACAAGCACCCCAUAUUAACAUCCCCAAAUGUGUCCCCAAAGUCACCAUACAUAGGGAAAAUGGGAAAUUGUAGCUAAAUGCACCUUUAUUUACAAAAUACUCAUUGUGGUAUGUUUAGCUACGAUUUCCCAUUUUUCCCUAUGCAUGGCGACUUUUGGGACACCUUGUAGUACGUAUCAGUCAACAAGAGUUUUCUUAGUGUCGACUGCCAUUGGAUCUUUAAGAGAGUUGAAUACAGUAUUAAUAUGAGGUCACAAACUCAACACGAAUGAGUAUUCUUAUAGUGGGCUUGAGAAUAGUAAGCAAAAUGAGAUAUAGAAGAUAACAAUAAUGUUUUGUUUCUGUUUUUGUUUUUGAUCUUUUGUUUGAGUGCCUGAUGUAGGACCAGUUGCUAUGUGAAAUAUUUUAUAUGCAUCAUACAUUAGUGUUCAAUAUAUAAAUAUACAUUAGCUUUCAACAUACCUAUUAGUUGAUAUAAACAUAUAAAUAUUCAAUUGUGAUUAUUUAUACAUAUUAUUUACAUAAAUAUACAUAUUAGCAGGUGCACACGUAUCUUUUAGCUGUAUGCAUAUUAUCAAAGGCCAGCUGGGUAGCUGCUUUGCUCAGGUGCCAAAGCUCAGAGGAGAGGGGUUAUGGAUUGACCUGCGGCCUCACGGCUGGGAAGUGGCUGGGCAGCUGUGAGACCGGCUCUGUCUGCCUCUUAUGACUGCACCAACGUGCCUCACCUGCAGGAGGAAUUCCCUCUAUAUCAAAGCAGACAGCCAAAACCUCUGAGUACCUCCCAGAGCAGGUCCUUGGCUCUGGGCAGAGAAAGAAACCGUGGCCUACUUGCCUCUCUACAGCUGGGUUGUGACAUCAAGGUGGACCACACAGGAGGGGAUGUCAUGGGCAGAAUGACUCAUGAGGACAGCUGCCAGGGAUGCUCUGGCCAGCGAAGGAAAAGCUUGGGGCAGGCAUGCCCGAGAGAGGCUGGCAAGAUGGAGACAGAAAGCAACAGGAAGGCAGCUCCUUUCUGCCGAGAUUCAGAGAGCCACGUGCGGCUCAAGUGGCCCCCACCUACUGAUGCAGCGGUGCACUGCAGACAGGUAACUGGUGCAGAGAAAGGGACAGAAGUGGGACUCUGGGUCACCUGCAGAACCCUGGGUGGGUGGGGGUGGGGGCGCUCUGGAAGGGGCCAUGUAGCCUGGAGAGGGCAUUGGUGACAAGUCCCCUACUCAUACCCCCCUUGCAACGCCAUCACCACGCACGAGACCAGAUAUCUGAUUCUGAUUACAAUACAAAUUAUUAAUGGAACCAUGCGGCGAGAGCUCCUGUGCUGUAUUUGACACGUUCCCAGGAGCUCUGAGGUUAGGGGUCUGUCAUGCAUCCACAGGCAAUGACCACGAAGCAAAGUACCUAUGGGGAUUUAUGUAGGAACAGCCUGCAGAGGAACUCUCUACAGACUGGGAUUCCAGAGCCCCCAGGCUACCUGCAUGCCUCUGGACACCUGCUAUUUGUCACCAUCUGACUGAGAUUACAGUGCCCAGGACAGAGCCCACCAGCCCACCGACCUCUGAGGACCACACGGUUUGGGUCACCACACGUCUAUUUGCAGACAGCGCUGGGAGCCUCCACUGGGAUCAAGCUUUCAGUUUGAUGUCACUCUGUGGGUGGGUGGAAAGUGCUGGUUGUCAGUGGGCAAGCUCAGAGUAGCUUCCUCCCAGGGGGCAUUUCUGAAUACCCCAUUUGGAACAGGGUUUCUGGUGGUCCAAGUAAGAAAAUAUCCCCUUUGAAGAUGCAAACAGAGAUCAUCAUUUCACAGGGUGAUGUUAAAAACAACUGAUGGCCUUUGGAAGAUUGAAACAACCCGAGUGCCCCUCAAUACAUGAGUGGAUCAAUAAAAUGUGGUAUAUGUA